rnacentral:lncRNA from 1 species
UCACAUGUGGAAGGCUCUGGGUUUGAUCCUCAGCACCACAUAAAAAUAAAUAAAGGUGUUGUGUCCAACUACAACUAAAAAAUUAUUAUCAAAAAAAAGAUUAGCUUUUGGUUGAAAUUGAGAUCAGUUCAGCAAAUACUCUGGAAGUGGGCUACAUAGACUUGAGAAGUUUCCAACUUGAGGGAAAAGUAGAUGGCUACACAGUACUUGUGCACAUCAAGUGGAUGUAAGAUAGAGAGAGACACCUUCCUUGUUUAGUAUGUGAGAUCCCUACCUGGCCUCCACUUCCAGGACUCACCGGGUAAUCGGGUUUCCUCUCCCUGUGUGUGGACAGCCCAGGAUGAUGGGUGCCCUGGUGGAAUGAGUGUCCACAUGAUGUUGGUAGCCCCUGGUCUGCUCACUCUUUUAAGACCCCGAAUUGCAU